CCACCCAUCAAGAACGCACCUGGUAUGGAGCUGACCCCAGGCCGUAAGAAGCAGCGCACCUACAUUAUCGCAACUACAACCCCCGAGUUCUUCGGGACCCGUGGGUUCAACAUGCUCAGCCGCAGGAGCCAACACAAGAGACGUGGCCAGAAGGCCCAGAUCACCAGUGGGCGAACCUGCCUUUCCGUGUAGGCAGGUACUCCACUGAUUCGUUUGGAGCUUCAGGGUCUAGGCCCCAGCCCCAAUUUGAUGCAGGAAGGUACUCCGACGCCUCCUAUGUGUUCUCCGGUGACUACUACCAAGAGGCCAGCACCUUCUUCAACCGCACCGACAACACCCUUAUCGCCAUCCAAGAUAGGCAAGCAGAACAUGGACGACUCCUGGAACAGCAACAAAAGUGGAACCAGGACCACGCCGCUGCAGUACAAGGACUGAGGCAAGACACCACGACGAUGAACGACAACAUCACCACUAUGAUGCGAUUCUGGAACAUUGAGUAGGACCGACACAGCAACAUCCAGCUUGGAGGAGUUCCUCCCCAUUUUACCGAGUAAGUUUUUAUUUGUUUUUCUUAUUUAUUUUUUUGUUUUAGUAUUUCAUAAAAAAACAAACCAAAAAGAUGCAUGAUGGAAAUGAUGAACAGUUGCUCUGUUUACUUACUUUCAAGUACCUAGCUUUCAUAUUAGAGUUCUCCCAAGAAUUGCUAAAACUUGAAAUUUAAUAUCUAUGAGAGUAUGAACCUAAAACUAAAGUCUAGGUAAGAGAAAGGCAUGAUAUAAAGUUUGAGCUGUUGUUUAUCUUGUUCUUACUACACUAAGUUCUGGAGAUUUAUUUUGAAAACAUGCAAAUCACAUGAUGAGUUCCUAGCAUGACAAAAUUCCUACCACAGCCAUACUUGCUAUAACAUCUUUUGCUACUUAUAUUCACAUUGAGUUUGAUCGAGCUGUGUAGACCCUUAGGAGCUUUUCAUGUGGUUAAAUCAAGAUAUUCACUUGCACACAUCUACUACACCAUCCACCACCAUUCAUUAAAAUUGCUAAAAAUAUUAUCACUCACUAUCCCAAGUGUUGUUAUUCUCUCUCUCCAAAAAGAUUCAAUGCAGAAGAGGCAUGGGUUAUGAAAAAAUAUGCGAGGAAAUAAAAAGGGCAAGUGCCCGGAACCUCAAAAAAGAAAGAAAAAGAGUGAGACGAGAGGUAAAAAUGGACAAGUGUCUCGAGUAGAAUUAGGGGUACAAAGAUGCCCACUUGAGUGGAAAAAAUGGAUAAGUGUCCGACAGUAGAAUUAGGGGUAUUUACUACCCACCUGAAAAAAAAGAGAGAAAAGAAAAAGAUAGCCCAUGCUCUCCCAAAGCAAAGAUCAAGAGAGGAGGAGAGAUAGCAAUAUGAGGAGCAAUGAGAAGUAAGUUUUAUCAUUACUUAUAUAUUUUCACCAUUACUAUCAUUUACUCCACCACACAACCACAUCUUGAUUUAAUUAUAUGCUGAGUUCCUUCGGAUCCAUGGCUCGAUUAGACAACAUAUGUAUGAGCUGUUUUUCACACCUAUGAGCUCGACAUAAACAUUCCCUUAGUUAUAGGUAAGUGACAUUUUUAGUAAGGAUCCACAAAUACCAUAUAUAGAGAGAUUUGAGAGUAUCAUAGCUGGGAACUCUGAGCUUUAUUUUUGAAAACGUAUGCAAAACUCCAGAACAAAGGUGAAGUAUAGAC
rnacentral:lncRNA from 1 species